GUCCCAGCAGCCCCGGUAAUAGGGAGGGUGCAAGCGUAAAUCGGAAUUACUGGGCGUAAAGCCCACGCGGGCGGUCUGUCAAGUCGGAUGUGAAAUCCCCGGGCUCAACCUGGGAACUGCAUUCGAAACUGGCAGGCUAAAGUCUUGUAGAGGGGGGUGUAAUUCCAGGUGUAGCGGUGAAAUGCGUAGAGAUCUGGAGGAAUACCGGUGGCGAAGGCGGCCCCCUGGACAAAGACUGACGCUCAGGUGCGAAAGCGUGGGGAGCAAACAGGAUUAAAUACCCUGGUAGUCCACGCCGUAAACGAUGUCGAUUUGGAGGUUGUGCCCUUGAGGCGUGGCUUCCGGAGCUAACGCGUUAAAUCGACCGCCUGGGGAGUACGGCCGCAAGGUUAAAACUCAAAUGAAUUGACGGGGGCCCGCACAAGCGGUGGAGCAUGUGGUUUAAUUCGAUGCAACGCGAAGAACCUUACCUGGUCUUGACAUCCACAGAACUUUCCAGAGAUGGAUUGGUGCCUUCGGGAACUGUGAGACAGGUGCUGCAUGGCUGUCGUCAGCUCGUGUUGUGAAAUGUUGGGUUAAGUCCCGCAACGAGCGCAACCCUUAUCCUUUGUUGCCAGCGGUUAGGCCGGGAACUCAAAGGAGACUGCCAGUGAUAAACUGGAGGACGGUGGGGAUGACGUCAAGUCAUCAUGGCCCUUACGACCAGGGCUACACACGUGCUACAAUGGCAUAUACAAAGAGAAGCGACCUCGCGAGAGCAAGCGGACCUCAUAAAGUAUGUCGUAGUCCGGAUUGGAGUCUGCAACUCGACUCCAUGAAGUCGGAAUCGCUAGUAAUCGUAGAUCAGAAUGUUACGGUGAAUACGUUCCCGGGCCUUGCUACACACCGCCCGUCACACCAUGGGAGUGGGUUGCAAAAGAAGUAGGUAGCUUAACCUUCGGGAGGGCGCUUACCACUUUGUGAAUCAUGACUGGGGUGAAGUCGUAACAAGGUAACCA
rnacentral:rRNA from 1 species